rnacentral:misc_RNA from 1 species
GAUGAAGAACGUAGCGAAAUGCGAUAAGUAAUGUGAAUUGCAGAAUUCAGUGAAUCAUCGAAUCUUUGAACGCACAUUGCGCCCGCCAGUAUUCUGGCGGGCAUGCCUGUUCGAGCGUCAUUUCAACCAUCAAGCCCCCGGCUUGUGUUGGGGACCUGCGGCUGCCGCAGGCCCUGAAAAGCAGUGGCGGGCUCGCUGUCACACCGAGCGUAGUAGCAUACAUCUCGCUCUGGGCGUGCUGCGGGUUCCGGCCGUUAAACCACCUUCAUAACUCAAGGUUGACCUCGGAUCAGGUAGGAAGACCCGCUGAACUUAAGCAUAUCAAUAAGCGGAGGA